AUAUAGGUCAAGCUACAAAGGGCGCAUGGUGAAUGCCUUGGCAUCAGGAGCCGAUGAAGGACGUGAUAAGCUGCGAUAAGCUUCGGGUAGGCGCACAUAGCCUGAGAUCCGAAGAUCUCCGAAUGAGGAAACUCACAUGGGAAACCCCAUGUAUCAUUAAGUGAAUACAUAGCUUAAUGAAGGUAACCCAGGGAACUGAAACAUCUAAGUACCUGGAGGAAGAGAAAGAAAAAUCGAUUUUCUUAGUAGCGGCGAGCGAAAGGGAAAGAGCCCAAACCGGAAACUUGUUUCCGGGGUUGUGGACAUAACAUGAAAGUGGAGGCUAUUGUAACUGAAGAGAACUGGAAAGUUCCACCGUAGAAGGUAAUAGUCCUGUAAGUGAAACGAGAAGACCACGAGUUAUGAUCCAGAGUACCACGAGACACGUGAAACCUUGUGGGAAGCAGGGAGGACCACCUCCCAAGGCUAAAUACUACCUGAUGACCGAUAGUGAAGCAGUACCGUGAGGGAAAGGUGAAAAGAACCCCGGGAGGGGAGUGAAAUAGAACCUGAAACCGUGUGCCUACAACCGCUCAGAGCCCCUUAUGAGGGUGAUGAGGUGCUUUUUGUAGAACGAGCCAACGAGUUACGGUAUGUAGCAAGGUUAAGUACUUAAGGUACGGAGCCGAAGGGAAACCGAGUCUGAAUAGGGCGACUAGUUGCAUGCCGUAGACCCGAAACCGGGUGACCUAUCCAUGGCCAGGUUGAAGCGAGGGUAAAACCUCGUGGAGGACCGAACCACGUUGCUGUUGAAAAAGCAUGGGAUGAGCUGUGGAUAGCGGAGAAAUUCCAAUCGAACCCGGAGAUAGCUGGUUCUCUCCGAAAUAGCUUUAGGGCUAGCGUCGAGUAUGAGUAGUGGAGGUAGAGCACUGAAUGGGCUAGGGGGCAUAGCGCUUACCGAACCUUAUCAAACUCCGAAUGCCACAUACUUUGAGCUCGGCAGUCAGACUACGAAUGAUAAGAUCCGUGGUCAAAAGGGAAACAGCCCAGAUCGUCAGCUAAGGUCCCAAAGUGUAAGUUAAGUGGGAAAGGAUGUGAGAUUUCUAAGACAACUAGGAUGUUGGCUUAGAAGCAGCCAUUCAUUAAAAGAGUGCGUAAUAGCUCACUAGUCGAGAGAUCUUGCGCCGAAAAUGUAACGGGGCUAAACUUACCACCGAAGCUACGGGCUUGAACUUAGUUCAAGCGGUAGGAGAGCGUCGUAACCGGGCUGAAGUCGUACCGUAAGGAGCGGUGGACUGGUUACGAGUGAGAAUGUUGGCAUCAGUAGCGAGAUGUGGGUGAGAAUCCCACAGGCCGAAAACCUAAGGUUUCCUCAGGAAGGUUCGUCCGCUGAGGGUUAGUCGGGACCUAAGCCGAGGCCGAAAGGCGUAGGUGAUGGACAACUGGUUGAUAUUCCAGUACCACUACCAUCGUUAUUAUCGAUGGCGUGACGCAGGAGGAUAGUGUGUGCUAGCUAUUGGAUGCUAGUCUAAGCGUUUAGGCAGUGAGAGUAGGCAAAUCCGCUCUCAUAAUGCUGAGGCGUGAUGGGGAAGGUUCCACGGAACCGAAGUACAUGAUUCCACGCUGCCAAGAAAAGCGUCUAGAGAGAGAAGUAGUGCCCGUACCGCAAACCGACACAGGUAGGUGAGGAGAGAAUCCUAAGGCCGGCGGAAGAAUUACAGUUAAGGAACUCGGCAAAUUGACCCCGUAAGUUCGCGAGAAGGGGUGCCUACGAGAGUAGGCCGCAGAGAAUAGGCCCAAGCAACUGUUUAGCAAAAACACAGGUCUCUGCUAAAGCGUAAGCUGAUGUAUAGGGGCUGACGCCUGCCCGGUGCUGGAAGGUUAAGGGGAACACUUAGCGCAAGCGAAGGUGUGAACUUAAGCCCCAGUAAACGGCGGCCGUAACUAUAACGGUCCUAAGGUAGCGAAAUUCCUUGUCAGGUAAGUUCUGACCCGCACGAAUGGCGUAAUGACUUGGGCACUGUCUCAACUGUAAAUCCGGCGAAGUUGUAGUGCGAGUGAAGAUGCUCGCUACCCGCGAUUGGACGGAAAGACCCCGUAGAGCUUUACUGUAGCUUAGCAUUGAGUUUUGGUAUUGUCUGUACAGGAUAGGUGGGAGACUAGGAAACCAGGGCGUCAGCCUUGGUGGAGUCAACCUUGGGAUACCACCCUGACAGUACUGAAAUUCUAACUGGCGGCCAUGAAUCUGGUCACAGGACAUUGUUAGGUGGGCAGUUUGACUGGGGCGGUCGCCUCCUAAAAAGUAACGGAGGCGCCCAAAGGUUCCCUCAGAACGGUCGGAAAUCGUUCGAAGAGUGCAAAGGCAGAAGGGAGCCUGACUGCGACACCCACAAGUGGAGCAGGGACGAAAGUCGGGCUUAGUGAUCCGGUGGUACCUCGUGGGAGGGCCAUCGCUCAACGGAUAAAAGCUACCUCGGGGAUAACAGGCUGAUCUCCCCCAAGAGUCCACAUCGACGGGGAGGUUUGGCACCUCGAUGUCGGCUCGUCGCAUCCUGGGGCUGAAGUAGGUCCCAAGGGUUGGGCUGUUCGCCCAUUAAAGCGGCACGCGAGCUGGGUUCAGAACGUCGUGAGACAGUUCGGUCCCUAUCCGUCGCGGGCGUAGGAAAUUUGAGAGGAGCUGUCCUUAGUACGAGAGGACCGGGAUGGACUGACCUCUGGUGUACCAGUUGUUCCGCCAGGAGCACAGCUGGGUAGCUAAGUCGGGAAUGGAUAAACGCUGAAAGCAUCUAAGCGUGAAGCCAACCUCAAGAUGAGAUUUCCCAUAGCGUAAGCUAGUAAGAUCCCUUGAAGAACACAAGGUUGAUAGGUCGGGGGUGUAAGCAUGGUAACAUGUUCAGCUGACCGAUACUAAUAGAUCGAGGGCUUGACCAAAU
rnacentral:rRNA from 1 species